CAUCCGGUCCCAAAGCCAGCUGCCCUGCAGAGAGGAGCCUACCGGCACCGGGCACGUCUGUGGGAGGGCGAGGCUGGGAGAAGGGCACUGAGCUAAAGAUGAGAAGAAGCGUUCCCUGGAGCCUGCAUGGCAUCAAUCAUGAGAAUGGAUGUUGAGGGUUAUGCACCCCACUGAGGCAGCACUGAAUGCCAGAUCCCAAGUUACAGAGAUGAUCUACCCCAACCGAAGAUACUUAAAACGAUGUGAACAAAUUUUUGAAGACAAUUGCAGGAGGUAAAUUAGAAAGAUGAAAAUAAUACCUUAAAGAAAGCAUCUGUAGUCUCCUAACAACUAAGUAACUCAAGCCAUUUAAAAAAGUAUUUGUCUUUAGAGAGCUUUUUUUUUUCAUACAAGGGCCAUAAAAAUAGUCAUAGGCACACCAGUGGUUCACUCAAAGAAUGAUAGAUUCUGUAAACUGCAGGUUAUCCCAGACGUCAUCCAAUAUGACUUAUGAUUCAUCAGAAACACCAUCAUAUUUGACCUACGACAAGGACCAGUUCAGUUCAACAGGAUCUUUUUUGAGGACCUACUAUGUGCCAGCCACUGUAUGCUAGCUGCUGUGGAAGACAUAAUUGAAUAAAAUACAACCCCUGAACCUGAGAAUCUUCUAGUCUAGUGGGACACCGAUGGGAGGAUGUGGUGGUGAUGGAGGCAGAGCUGUGAAGAACUGAGAGGCUAUUAGAAAACCGCGGUGGAACAGUGGCUGGGGAAAAGGAUUGUAUUUGCUGGGGCUGCUAUUAAAAAGUACCGUGAACUGAGUGGCUUAAACACCAGAAAUUAUUCUCUCACAGUUCUGGAGGACUAAAGUCCAAAAUCAAGCUGUGGGCAGGGUGGGUUUCCCUGAGAGCUGCAAGUG
rnacentral:lncRNA from 1 species